GCAGAAGCUAACAGGCUCCAAAUUUGAUGUAAAAGUAAACAACACAAGUACUCAAAGGAAAGAAAGAACUUGGCUGAUCGGUCCAGGAGACACUUGACUCAAGCUGUGAAUAAGAGGAAGAGUAAGCGUAAAACCUGCCGCCCCAGCAUCUUCUCUCUCCUCAGCCACGACUCGAAAUCCAACCCCCUACAGACGAGUUUCCAUGACAACACAAAGGCAGCAGACUAUUAGCAGGGGAUAAAGGGGUGACCGGAGUGAGGAGACAAGUGAAGCUUGAUCCACCAAAGAGAGGGAAGUCGGGUCGUUCUGAAGCGUUCUCCGUCUUGGGACAUCCACGGGCUGAUGGUCAGAGCGAUGGAACCAAACGGACCGUGCAGACGUCGGGUGUUGCAAGAUGUGUUGUUCUGUCGGUUUCUCAAAUCCUAACAGAGUGUGCACAGGAAGAAAAAAGAAGUAGAGUAAACCAGAGCUGCUUUA